ACGGCUCAGUAACACGUGGGUAACCUACCUUACACAGGGGGAUAGCCUUCCGAAAGGAAGAUUAAUACCGCAUAAGAAGUAGAUAUCACAUGGUAUCAGCUUUAAAGGAGUAAUCCGGUGUAAGAUGGACCCGCGGCGCAUUAGCUAGUUGGUGAGGUAAUGGCUCACCAAGGCGACGAUGCGUAGCCGACCUGAGAGGGUGAUCGGCCACAUUGGAACUGAGAGACGGUCCAGACUCCUACGGGAGGCAGCAGUGGGGAAUAUUGCACAAUGGAGGAAACUCUGAUGCAGCAACGCCGCGUGAGUGACGAAGGCCUUCGGGUUGUAAAGCUCUGUCAUCUGGGACGAUAAUGACGGUACCAGAGGAGGAAGCCACGGCUAACUACGUGCCAGCAGCCGCGGUAAUACGUAGGUGGCGAGCGUUGUCCGGAAUUACUGGGCGUAAAGGAUGCGUAGGUGGGAAUUUAAGUCAGAUGUGAAAUACCCGAGCUUAACUUGGGCACUGCAUUUGAAACUGAAUUUCUUGAGUGCAGGAGAGGAAAGCGGAAUUCCUAGUGUAGCGGUGAAAUGCGUAGAGAUUAGGAAGAACACCAGUGGCGAAGGCGGCUUUCUGGACUGUAACUGACACUGAGGCAUGAAAGCGUGGGGAGCAAACGGGAUUAGAUACCCUGGUAGUCCACGCUGUAAACGAUGGGUACUAGGUGUGGGAGGUAUCGACUCCUUCCGUGCCGCAGUUAACACAAUAAGUACCCCGCCUGGGGAGUACGAUCGCAAGAUUAAAACUCAAAGGAAUUGGCGGGGGAGCAC
rnacentral:rRNA from 1 species